UACAUAGGGUGCAAGCGUUUGUCCGGAAUUAUUGGGCGUAAAGAGCUCGUAGGCGGUCUGUCGCGUCUGCUGUGAAAACUCAGGGCUUAACCCUGAGCUUGCAGUGGGUACGGGCAGACUAGAGUGCGGUAGGGGAGACUGGAAUUCCUGGUGUAGCGGUGAAAUGCGCAGAUAUCAGGAGGAACACCGAUGGCGAAGGCAGGUCUCUGGGCAUUAACUGACGCUGAGGAGCGAAAGCAUGGGGAGCGAACAGG
rnacentral:rRNA from 1 species